CGGCGAGUGAAGCGGUAACAGCUCAAAUUUGAAAUCUGGCCGCAAGGUCCGAGUUGUAAUUUGUAGAGGAUGUUUCGAGCAUGGUCUGGCCUAAGUUCCUUGGAACAGGACGUCAUAGAGGGUGAGAAUCCCGUAUGCGGUCAGGUGCCUACGCUCAUGUGAAACUCCUUCGACGAGUCGAGUUGUUUGGGAAUGCAGCUCAAAAUGGGUGGUAAAUUUCAUCUAAAGCUAAAUAUUGGCCAGAGACCGAUAGCGCACAAGUAGAGUGAUCGAAAGAUGAAAAGCACUUUGGAAAGAGAGUUAAACAGUACGUGAAAUUGUUGAAAGGGAAGCGCUUGCAACCAGACUUGCGCGCGGCUGAUCAUCCGGGCUUCUGCCCGGUGCACUCGGUCGCGCUCAGGCCAGCAUCGGUUUUGGUGGCGGGAUAAAGGCCUUGGGAAUGUAGCUCCUCUCGGGGAGUGUUAUAGCCCAGGGUGCAAUGCCGCCUACCGGGACCGAGGACCGCGCUUCGGCUAGGAUGCUGGCGUAAUGGUUGUAAGCGACCCGUCUUG
rnacentral:rRNA from 1 species